CAUUAGCCAUGAUGAUGUCGGCAAUUUGGAAGACAUAGGAGUUGUCAAGAGGAGAUCAAAAAGCAGGAGAAGGGAUGACUCAAGACGGGGCCUGCAAAUCUUGUUUGAUGACGAGCACUAUCGGAAUGAUGAAGAGGAAAGAAUGAUAGAUAAACUGUUGAUUCAUUACAGUAAGAAGCCAUCAGCCUAUGAACCUGGAAAGGUCAGAAGGAAGUCCAA
rnacentral:misc_RNA from 1 species